rnacentral:rRNA from 1 species
AUUGAACGCUGGCGGCGUGCCUAACACAUGCAAGUCGAGCGGUAACAGGGUGUAGCGAAUACAUGCUGACGAGCGGCGGACGGGUGAGUAACGCUUGGGAAUCUGCCUAGUUAGUGGGGGACAACCCGGGGAACUCGGGCUAAUACCGCAUACGCUCUACGGAGGAAAGCCGGGGACCGCAAGGCCUGGCGCUAAUAGAUGAGCCCAAGUCGGAUUA